AUUGAACGCUGGCGGCAGGCUUAACACAUGCAAGUCGAGCGGAGUGAUGGUGCUUGCACCAUCACUUAGCGGCGAACGGGUGAGUAAUGCCUAGGAAUCUGCCGAUUAAUGGGGGACAACGUGUGGAAACGCACGCUAAUACCGCAUACGCCCUACGGGGGAAAGCAGGGGAUCUUUUAUAUCUUGCGUUAAUCGAUGAGCCUAGGUCGGAUUAGCUAGUUGGUGGGGUAAAGGCCUACCAAGGCGACGAUCUGUAGCGGGUCUGAGAGGAUGAUCCGCCACACUGGAACUGAGACACGGUCCAG
rnacentral:rRNA from 1 species